rnacentral:rRNA from 1 species
GAUGAACGCUGGCGGCGUGCCUAAUACAUGCAAGUCGAGCGAACAGACGAGGAUCUUGCUCCUCUGACGUUAGCGGCGGACGGGUGAGUAACACGUGGAUAACCGACCUAUAAGACUGGGAUAACUUCGGGAAACCGGAGCUAAUACCGGAUAAUAUAUUGAACCGCAUGGUUCUAUAGUGAAAGACGGUUUUGCUGUCACUUAUAGAUGGAUCCGCGCCGCAUUAGCUAGUUGGUAAGGUAACGGCUUACCAAGGCAACGAUGCGUAGCCGACCUGAGAGGGUGAUCAGCCACACUGGAACUGAGACACGGUCCAGACUCCUACGGGAGGCAGCAGUAGGGAAUCUUCCGCAAUGGGCGAAAGCCUGACGGAGCAACGCCGCGUGAGUGAUGAAGGUCUUCGGAUCGUAAAACUCUGUUAUUAGGGAAGAACAAAUGUGUAAGUAACUAUGCACGUCUUGACGGUACCUAAUCAGAAAGCCACGGCUAACUACGUG